rnacentral:rRNA from 1 species
UACGAAGGGGGCUAGCGUUGCUCGGAAUCACUGGGCGUAAAGGAUGCGUAGGCGGGUCUUUAAGUCAGGGGUGAAAUCCUGGAGCUCAACUCCAGAACUGCCUUUGAUACUGAAGAUCUUGAGUUCGGGAGAGGUGAGUGGAACUGCGAGUGUAGAGGUGAAAUUCGUAGAUAUUCGCAAGAACACCAGUGGCGAAGGCGGCUCACUGGCCCGAUACUGACGCUGAGGUGCGAAAGCGUGGGGAGCAAACAGG